rnacentral:lncRNA from 1 species
GCCCCGAGACGUGCGUCGCCUGGAAUCCUGCUGGAGGCGUGGAGGCUGCGGCGGCUAGGGCGUAUGGUGCUAGGGUUGCUGCUAUAUUUUAGUUAAUGGGCUAUUGGGGUUUGGGCUAAUUGUUUUUUAGGUUUAAUAUUAUUGGGCCUGUAAAGCACUAGACUAUUUAUUUGGGUUUUUUUUUGUUUGGGUUCUGCAUGCGGGCCCGGGCUAAUUGGG